rnacentral:rRNA from 1 species
GACGUAGGGUCCGAGCGUUGUCCGGAUUUACUGGGCGUAAAGGGCGUGCAGGCGGUCUGUUAAGUGCAGGGUGAAAGCUCCCGGCUCAACUGGGAGAGGUCCUUGCAUACUGGCGGACUUGAGGGGGGUAGAGGAAAGUGGAAUUCCCGGUGUAGUGGUGAUAUGCGUAGAUAUCGGGAGGAACACCUGUGGCGAAGGCGGCUUUCUGGGCCCUACCUGACGCUGAGACGCGAAAGCGUGGGGAGCGAACCGG